rnacentral:rRNA from 1 species
CUACGGGAGGCAGCAGUGAGGAAUAUUGGACAAUGGGCGCAAGCCUGAUCCAGCCAUGCCGCGUGAGUGUUGAAGGCCUUAGGGUUGUAAAGCUCUUUCAGUAGGGACGAUAAUGACGGUACCUACAGAAGAAGCCCCGGCUAACUUCGUGCCAGCAGCCGCGGUAAUACGAAGGGGGCUAGCGUUGUUCGGAUUUACUGGGCGUAAAGCGCACGUAGGCGGAUUGUUAAGUGAGGGGUGAAAUCCCAGGACUCAACCCUGGAACUGCCUUUCAUACUGGCAAUCUAGAGUCCGGAAGAGGUGAGUGGAACUCCUAGUGUAGAGGUGGAAUUCGUAGAUAUUAGGAAGAACACCAGUGGCGAAGGCGGCUCACUGGUCCGGUACUGACGCUGAGGUGCGAAAGCGUGGGGAGCAAACAGGAUUAGAUACCCGAGU